AUUUAAUGCUAUAAAAUAUAAGCACUCCAAAUGCCUUAAAUUGGAUCAUGCAGGAAACCACGGAAAUCACAUUAUUUUGCAUUUCAGCUUUGGAAAAAAGCCACACUUUGAGAAUGCUCAGGAAGAAUUAGCAAAACUGAUCCUGCCAUAAAACAAUACAACCCAAAGAGUUCUUUCCUGAGACUAAAAUUAUUUGGCUAGGAGGAGGGAAGGAUGGUGAAGAAUACAGUUUAGGAAGUGAUCUAGCUGAGAAAGGUGAGAAAAACCCUGAAAAGAAAGCAAGUGCUUUUGCUAAUUGAACCUAAGAAUAGAGUGUUAGAUAAUGUGGGCUUACAAAAGGCUGUAUCUUACAAACAAAUAUUUUUGCUUCAGGAUGAUGUAAAGUUUGAAUAAUAACAGUAAGUUUCCACUAUUAUUAAAACUACUCUCUUUCCACAGUUGCAGUUGGAUUAGAGUCAAAAAUUCCAGAGCAGCAGGCCCAAGGAAGAAUAACAGUAUGCAGAAAUGAGGCAUUUGGCUGCUUAAGAAAUCAAGAGGGGGGCACACAAACAGAUCUGCUUCAGAAAGCUACAGCAGAGGCAUCCGUCAUUAUUACUGUGAAGACAUUCAUGCUUGGAGGUGAAGCAAUUGUCUCAUGAACUUCUGCUUCACCUUCCACCAUGAUUGUAAGCUUCCAGAGGCUUCCCCAGAAGGAGAUGCCAACUCCAUGCUUCUUGUGCAGCCUGCAGCACCGUGAGUUAAUUUAUCCUCUUUUCGUUAUAAAUU